ensembl:lncRNA
GUGCGUGAGCCGACAUGCAGGAGUCGAAGACGGAGCAGGCAUCCAGUGGCAGUGCAGCGUGUGAGGGGGGAGAGAGUGAGAAAGCCGAGGAGCAGCCCACUGCCGGAUCGCCCUCCUCCCAGGGAGCAGAGGCCAGUCUACCACACACACAGCAGGCUCUUCAAGUUGCACAACAGUUCCAGCAACAGCCAGAACAACAACAACAACAACAACAACAGCAGCAACAGCAGGGGAGUGGAGGGAAGUCCCCUAGGGCCUCUGAGGCAGAGACAGACACACAGGUAAAACACACACACACACACACACACACACACACACACACAGAUAUACAGACACAAACAAAUUCACAUGUUGCCACUGUCAGUGCCAACCACGAUUUCACAGAAGAAGGAAAAGCACAUUUCAAUGCAGGUCAAUCUAGUUCGACAAAAAUGACUUUAAUUGCUAACAACCUUCAACUAGGGUUAGCCCUAUAUUAUUAAAUACCAUUUUGGUACUUUGCUGUAAGCAUGUAGAUAUAAUCACUGCAUGUUUUUCAUGGAUGUAGAACUAAGAAAUUGGUUACCUUCGUUAGAUUAAACUGUAGCAGACUAAAAAGAAAACCAUAGAGAUGACCAGUCAUGUUCAUGUUAAAAGCUACGUGCCCCGUUGUUUUAAUUUCUAGCUUUCUGCCCUGUUACUCCUGUUGUUGUUCCCAGGUUUGGAGAGUGCAAUUAGAAUGUACCAGCCAUGACGCAUGACAUUUGCACACAGAUUAACUGAAAGAGUUGGUUUGGUUUUUAAUGUUUUUCUUGAGGUUGUACUGAAAGAGAGGUGACGCUGACAGAUGUGUAACCUCAAGAUAAAUGAUAAAUAUUUUCAGACGCGACAGAAAUAGAUCUUAAACACACGCAAGUGUCUGUGAAAAGUUGCGCAUACAAAUAAUGGGAAGUUGAACAUUUGAGCCAAAAAUUUGUGUAGGAAAUCUUUAUACCAUGAAGAUGUUUUGUGAGAUGAGAGGGAAGAUAUGUGAUUCAGUUAUGGGGGGUGGCGUACAGUGACGAUUGAACAGUGACGAGUGACAAAAAAACUUUGGUUGUUGUCAGGGACAUGUUUGGCUGUGGAUUCUAAGCUGAUAAAAUGCCUCUGUUUAUGAAAGUUCUUACCUUUGAUGUCAAGUUCAGUGGUCUGGUAAACAUAAAUGCCUUACAGGUCAGUACAGGGUAGGUUUUACUAUUGAUUUUUAGUGGGGAAAAGUCUGGAAAAAUUAAUUGAGAUCAUGUUUGAGAUAAGGCUGUGGCAUUCACUAUAUAUCACAUAGGUGCGCACACACACACACGUGCAUCGAUACACAGAUUAAUACAUGUUCAUGCACACACACACACACACACACACACACACACACACACACACUACAACGCCACUCCUCAGAGCAUAGCUUUCAGCACCAUUUCAGUCAACAGAAAAGUUAUUGACCCACACACUUUAUUUGUGCUCAGAAGA